GCAAAAUUAAAUGAAUAAGGUUCAUUUACUUUCAUUGUCCUUAAUCAUUUGGCCUUCCUUUAGGGACAGUCCCUUCUCAGUCUCUCAGUCUAACAUUUCUUACCCCAUCAGAAUUCCUGCCAUCAGAGAAAGCUUGGAAGCUUAGCCACUAUCAGGGUUAAGUGACUGAUAAAACAUGGUUGUCUCCUCCUAAGAGCAUUUACACUUUUUAAAAAAGGGUGAGGCCUUGAGGUUUGGCAUACAGGAACAAAUGAAAAUGAAUCUUAGUCAUCAGGAAGUUUGAGGGAUGGUGGCAUAAGGAAGCAUAGGUUCCCAGUGCUUCUGAUACUUGACACAUCAGGUAAAACAUUGGUUGGUUUAAAUUAGAUUUGCCUCCUUAAAUGGAGGGUUGAUUAAUCAAACUGAAACAGCACCAGCUUAAACCGGCUUUGUCUCCAUAAAUAGGUUGAUUAAUCAAACCUUGAGUUAUUUUACAGAGACAGCACCGAACAUGAGCAACACGGGAACCCAUGUCUCCAGGAUGACCCCAGAACCAAGAAUCUUCAAUGUGCAAACCUAAAGAAUAGAAAUGUUGCCACCACAGCCCUUUAUGAAGCGAAAAGUCUUUCAAUAAGGAAAAUCUGGCUUCCAGUAGCAGGAGUAGCUUACAUGGACUAAUUCAAGACCAGCCAAUCAACUUCUGAAUUUGAAAUUCCACUAACCCCUUAAAUUUCUCCCUGACGCCCGGAUAGAGGAGACAGAGUUGAGAGUCUUGCUUCUGGUCUCCUUGCCAGUUGACCUCACCAUGAAGCUCUUUUCGCAAAAGCUGAUGCCAUAGUAUAGGCUUCUGGUCACCUUGGGCAGCCAGCUCUUGUUCAGUCACAGUGUUGCAUCCUGUGGGACACCUGAGUCACCAGUGAACUGCGUGAAAGAGUUCCUUCGCUUGCUUUUCCAUUUCCUCUCCUUUAAGACUCUCUUCAAUUCAUUUCACCAUUUCACUGAAGCUCUUCUUAUCAAGAUCACUGAUGAAAGGGAUUAAAUUGAGUGUAAGCAGCCUGGAACCAUUUGAAGCCUCAUCCUUUCAGCCGUGGAAGGUGCCAGGUGUCUUGCCUCUAGACUCUGACAUCCUACUGGUGAGGAUAACCAUCCAUAAAUGAGAACCUUUGGCUCUUUGUAGGGCCAUCUACGGACUGAUUGAGUUGGCAGUGACCUGACAAAUAAAUCAGAAUGAUGCAGAGCUAAGAGCACGAGCUUCGGUGACAAAUGGUCUUAGGUGUGAAUUCUGCCACUUAGUGAUGGUGUGAUUGGGAAUUCCAUAAGCGUUUUCUUUCAGGUGGUGAUUAAGCAGCAUAUGAUAAAUGGUUAAUAAUAAUGGUAGUGGAAAUAAUCAUUGUUGUUAAAGCAGCUACCACUAAAUGACUGCUUACUGCACACCAGCCACUGUGCUAGGAGAUCUCAAUCUCUACAGCAGUAGGAAGAAAAGGCUAUUGCCAAUAAAUGUGUACCUAAUCAUUGUCUGCGGCUU